GACGAACGCUGGCGGCGUGCUUAACACAUGCAAGUCGAACGGAAAGACCCUGCUUUUGUUGGGUUCUCGAUUGGCGAACGGGUGAGUAACACAUGAGUAACCUGCCCUUAACUUUCUGGUAACUUCAGGAGACUGCGGCUCAUACCCGAUAUAAUCUCCUGCUGCAUGGGGUGGGUUAGAGAGUUUCGGCGGUUCGGGAUGGACUAGCUGCUUAUCCGCUUGAUUGUGGAGUAGUGGCGUACGAAGGCUUUGACGGGUAGCCGGCCUGAGAGAGGUACCGGCGACAUGGGGACUGAGAUACGGCGCAGAAUGCUACGGGCGGCAGCAGUGGGGAACAUUGCAGAAUGGGCGGAAGCCUGAUGCAGCAACGUCGCGUGCGGGAUGAUGGCCUUCGGGGGGUAAACAGCUUUCGCCUGUGACGAAGAGUGAGUGACGGUAAUGGGUAAAGAAGCAACGGCUAACUACGUG
rnacentral:rRNA from 1 species